rnacentral:rRNA from 1 species
UGGGGAAUAUUGGACAAUGGGCGAAAGCCUGAUCCAGCCAUGCCGCGUGUGUGAAGAAGGUCUUCGGAUUGUAAAGCACUUUAAGUUGGGAGGAAGGGUUGUAGAUUAAUACUCUGCAAUUUUGACGUUACCGACAGAAUAAGCACCGGCUAACUCUGUGCCAGCAGCCGCGGUAAUACAGAGGGUGCAAGCGUUAAUCGGAAUUACUGGGCGUAAAGCGCGCGUAGGUGGUUUGUUAAGUUGGAUGUGAAAUCCCCGGGCUCAACCUGGGAACUGCAUUCAAAACUGACUGACUAGAGUAUGGUAGAGGGUGGUGGAAUUUCCUGUGUAGCGGUGAAAUGCGUAGAUAUAGGAAGGAACACCAGUGGCGAAGGCGACCACCUGGACUAAUACUGACACUGAGGUGCGAAAGCGUGGGGAGCAAACAGGAUUAGAUACCCCCGUAGUCCCUGAGCGGGCUGGCAAGGCGCAU